GACCUGGUACGGUGUUCCGCCUUCACGGUGUGUACUGCUGGACCGGGUUCUACCUCUUGGUGAGCCGGCAUGCCCUUCACUGGGUGUGUCGGGGAACCAGGACUUUUACCUUGAGAAAAUUAGAGUGUUCAAAGCAGACCUACGCCCGAAUACAUUAGCAUGGCAUAAUAAAAUAGGACGUGCGGUUCUAUUUUGUUGGUUUCUAGAGUCGCCGUA
rnacentral:rRNA from 1 species